rnacentral:rRNA from 1 species
GAUGAACGCUGGCGGCGUGCCUAAUACAUGCAAGUCGAGCGAACAGACGAGGAGCUUGCUUCUCUGACGUUAGCGGCGGACGGGUGAGUAACACGUGGAUAACCUACCUAUAAGACUGGGAUAACUUCGGGAAACCGGAGCUAAUACCGGAUAAUAUAUUGAACCGCAUGGUUCAAUAGUGAAAGACGGUUUUGCUGUCACUUAUAGAUGGAUCCGCGCCGCAUUAGCUAGUUGGUAAGGUAACGGCUUACCAAGGCAACGAUGCGUAGCCGACCUGAGAGGGGGACGGGCAACCAUGGAAUGGAACACGGGCCAAGACUCCACCGGGAGGAACAGGAAGGAAUUUUCCAGAAAGGGGCGAAAGCUGAACGGAGAAACGCCGCGGGAGUAAGAAGGUGUUCCGAUUCAAAAAACUUUUUUUUUGGGAAAAAAAAAAUGUGAAAGUAAAAUUGCACGUCUGAACGGUACAAAAUAAAAAAGCCACGCCAAACUACGUG